rnacentral:rRNA from 1 species
GAUGAACGCUAGCGGCAGGCUUAAUACAUGCAAGUCGUGGGGCAGCGCAGUGUAGCAAUACAUGGGCGGCGACCGGCAAACGGGUGCGGAACACGUACACAACCUUCCUACAAGUGGGGAAUAGCCCAGAGAAAUUUGGAUUAAUACCCCGUAACAUAUAAAGAUGGCAUCAUUUUUAUAUUAUAGCUACGGCGCUUGUUGAUGGGUGUGCGGCUGAUUAGGUAGUUGGCGGGGUAAUGGCCCACCAAGCCUGCGAUCAGUAGCUGAUGUGAGAGCAUGAUCAGCCACACGGGCACUGAGACACGGGCCCGACUCCUACGGGAGGCAGCAGUAAGGAAUAUUGGACAAUGGGCGCAAGCCUGAUCCAGCCAUGCCGCGUGAAGGAUUAAGGUCCUCUGGAUUGUAAACUUCUUUUAUAAGGGACGAAAAAAGGGAAUUCUUUCUCACUUGACGGUACCUUAUGAAUAAGCACCGGCUAACUCCGUGCCAGCAGCCGCGGUAAU